rnacentral:tRNA from 1 species
AUCUAAGUAGUUUUAUGGAAAAUUUUGAUUUGUGGUGUCAGGGAAGUAAUUAUAAUAUUACCUUAGAUU